rnacentral:rRNA from 1 species
CCCUUAGAUGUUCUGGGCGGCCCGCGCACUACAUUGGCACUAGCAAAGAGAUCCUAGAUUGAAUUCUUUGGGGUAUUCUUCUAAAUGGUGUCGUGACUGGGAUAAAUCCUUGUAAUUAUUGGUUUUGAACGAGGAAUUCCUUGUAAUCGCGGUUUAUCAGCUCGCGUUGAAUGCGUCCCUGCCCUUUAUACACACCGCCCGUCGCUCCUACCGAUGGAUCGUCCGGUGAAGCUCACGGAGUGACUGUUCACGCAACGGUUUACGAAGUGAAAUGGACCUCACGAUUUAGAGGAAGGAGAAGUCGUAACA